rnacentral:rRNA from 1 species
UACGUAGGGGGCAAGCGUUGUCCGGAUUUAUUGGGCGUAAAGAGCGUGUAGGCGACUUUACAGGUCCGUUGUGAAAACUCGAGGCUCAACCUCGAGACGCCGGUGGAAACCGUAAGGCUAGAGUCCGGAAGAGGAGAGUGGAAUUCCUGGUGUAGCGGUGAAAUGCGCAGAUAUCAGGAGGAACACCCGUGGCGAAAGCGGCUCUCUGGGCAGCAUCUGACACUGAGGCACGAAGGCCAGGGGAGCAAACGGG